UACGUAGGGUGCAAGCGUUGCCCGGAUUUAUUGGGCGUAAAGGGCGCGUAGGCGGCCACCGCAAGUCGACUGUGAAAUCUCCGGGCUUAACCCGGAAAGGUCAGCCGAUACUGCGGGGCUAGAGUGCAGAAGGGGCAACUGGAAUUCUCGGUGUAGCGGUGAAAUGCGUAGAUAUCGGAAGGAACAUCAGUGGCGAAGGCGACUUCCUGGACCAAUACUGACGCUCAGGUGCGAAAGCGUGGGGAGCAAACAGG
rnacentral:rRNA from 1 species